CUUGUUCUAAGCCGAAAUGGCAGACUUCUCAGUUGGCUGAAAUUUCCGGCAAUGGUCGAAACCAACGCCGCAUGAUUUAUGAACAUUCUUUGUAAUUGAACCGGCGUGGCAGACAGACGUGGAAAAUAUUCACGGUAGCAAUUCGGUUGAAAUUCUACGAUACCCGAUACUGCCGCCACAGCAAACAAGUAGCGCGAGUGCAUUUGCAAGGUGCCCAGUUUGUCUUCAUCCGAUGUCCAGGGGAGUACCCACAUCGGCCGGCACUCCUAAACUGCCCUGAGGAGCACCCACAUUGACCAGCGAUUCUGAGUUGCCCUUAGGAGCACCCGCAUCGGCCACCAAUCCAAGUUGUGCAGAGGAAAACCCCCUGUGGUCAGCGAUCUGCAGUUGCCUUGGGGAGCACCCCUAUUUGUCCAGCGAUCUGCAGUUGCCUUGGGGAGCACCCCUAUUUGUUCAGCCUUCGGAGUUCCCCCUAUUUGCUCAGCGAUCAGUAGUUGCAGCAGGGAGCAUCCUUAUUACAGCUCGUCGAGGAAUUUCCUCGGCCAUAUAGUCCCGUAAAUUGCGAAAGCCUGCCCAACUCGAUCGGCCCUAACCCAAAUCUUCAACAUGUGAAAUCUACCGCUUGGGCAGCGAUCUUAACCUUAUUUGUAAUCUCAAAACUAUCAAGCUGGCGAGAAAAAUUCCACGUGUAUAACAGUGAACAAGGCUACACUGGGAGAAUUUCCAAAACAUGUGAAGAGACAGUCAACUUAAAACAAGACGAAAAAUUUAAUUAAUUCAUUAAUUUAAUAGUGAAGUAACAAUAACUAUAUUAUGGAAAAAUGUAAACUAAUUAAAUAAUUAAUAAGAUUAAGAAUAAGUUAAGAUUCGUCCUCUGCGCGGUUAAAUUACGGUUACUUUGUCCCUGGGUAAAGUUUUCUUAAAACGUUUUCACUCGAAAAAAUAAUGAAACGUUUAUAAGUGCACAUAUAAACCAAUGUCAAAGCAGGAAAAUGCUUUGAUUUCCUUUCCAGCCUACCUGCGUUCGAAGAUCGACCGUCCGCCGAGGAAUCAGCUGUGUGAGUUGUUUUUACCUUUAUUUUAGUUUAACAGAAGAGCAACUGAAAACCAAUCAAAACCUCAUAAACGACAGUAGAAAAUAUCUACGCCACAAAUUUAAGAAAGCCAUUAUUUCAAAUGUAACCAUGCCAAUAACGAAUUAACUUUAAAA